rnacentral:rRNA from 1 species
GACGAACGCUGGCGGCGUGCUUAACACAUGCAAGUCGAACGGAGUGGCGAACGGGUGAGUAACACGUGGGUGACCUGCCCUGCACUUCGGGAUAAGCCUGGGAAACUGGGUCUUAUACCGGAUAGUUGGGGAUGGGCCCGCGGCCUAUCAGCUUGUUGGUGGGGUAAUGGCCUACCAAGGCGGCGACGGGUCGCCGGCCUGAGGUGGUGGACGGCCACAUUGGGACGGAGGCACGGCCCAGACUCUGACGGGAGGCAGCAGUGGGGAAUAGUGCACAAUGGGCGGAAGCCUGAUGCAGCGACGCUGCGUGGGGGAUGACGGCCUUCGGGUUGUAAACUCCUUUCACCAUCGACGCGGUAGAUGGAGAAGAAGCACCGGCUAACUACGUGCCAGCCGCCGCGGUAAUUG